rnacentral:lncRNA from 1 species
CCGGCGGCGGGGCGAGGGAGCUACCGCCCCGCAGCGGCCUCCUGUUGAUUAUUCAUUAGGGCGAGAGUGUCCUGUCCUGUCUUGUCCUGUCCUACCCCCCCCCCCGUUACAACCGGAGCUCUCGGGCCGGGACAGCCUGCGCUCCCCCCCCCCCCCCAGCCCUCUCUCCCCGCCCCAACGCCAGGCAGGUGCUGCCCCCGCGGCGGCUCGUACCUGCUCGGCCCGGCCCACCCCGCCGCCGGCUGGCUCUGCCUGGCGGUGGUCGGGGCCGGGAGGGGUGCGGAGCCGGCCGGGCCGGACCGGGCCGGGCCCCCGCGGCGGGCGGAACGCGGGGGGCGGCGAGCGGCGCCGGCGGGCCCCUUUGGCGGCGGCACCGCGCGGCGGAAGGCGGAAGGCGCGGAGGGAGGGAGAGGGAAGGAGGGAGGGAAGGAGGGAGGGAGGGGGAGGCGGCGGCGGCGGCCAUGGAUGACCAGGGCUGCCCGCGGUGCAAGACCACCAAGUACCGCAACCCGUCCUUGAAGCUGAUGGUCAACGUCUGCGGGCACACGCUGACAACUGAAGGUGAAGUUUGAAGAAAAGCUAGGUCAACAUUUUGGAAGUUGAAUUGAGUACUCCAGUGUUCAGAUUUGGUUAGGAAAUUAAGAAAUAAAAAAAUCUUCCCUGAUAGUAACAGGAUAUGGGACAGGCAGGGUGAUGAGCUUGUGUUGUGGAUGCUUAAGUUUCAUGUUGCUGGUUCCCUCUCUGGUUUAAUGAUAUGCAGGAAACAGUGGAUGUUUCUUCACAGAAAGGCCACUCUGGCUGUAAUAAAAGUCAUAAGUAGUAGUCCUAAGAGUGAACUGAAUUUUGUAAUGACAUCUACUUGGUUUUUCUUUUUUUAAAAAAAUGUUUUGCAAGAAUUCUAUUUGACAAGACCAGAUCUGAGAAAAGAACUUAGAGGGAACUGCUGCUAUAUAUGACAAAAUUAGACUUUAAUUGUUGUAGCUAAGAUCAUUUUUUGAUGCCCUGAAAAUGAUAUUCGGAGUAGUUCUUCCUCUAAAUAUAACACAUAUGCAGGGAGAGAAUGUAUUAGGAAAUUUUUGCACGUUUUUUUUUUUUUGUGUGUGUGUGUGUGUAAUGCAGGUAAGUUCAGAGAAGUGAGAACAAGAUGCCUCUGCCACAAAGGAACAAUGAGCAAGUCAUCUGGUCUGAUAAAUAUUUUGGCUCCAAAUUGAGAAACAUGUAGAUAAUGAUUUUUGCUGUUUAACAUGAGCAGGACGACUUCUUUAACACUAUAGAGGAAGAUAAGUGGUUCUGCUGAGAGUUAGGAAAUAGUGCGAUGGGGCAGAGUAAGGAACAAGUUGUGGCUUUUUUUUUUUUUAAGAAGCAACAUUGAGGUAAAAGUUCCCAAGCCCUAAGAAUGUUCUGCUUCCCAGUUUUUAUUAAUGCCAAGCAGUGCGGCCAGGGUGGCAAAGAAAGGCUGGCGUUCCUAGACAGCAAAAAGCAAUGGAGUGGUUUGGCUAAUGUUGACACCUUCAGAGUGUUGAGCCAGAAUGAGCAGUGUUAGGUCUAAUAGAGCAGGAAAGUUUGGCACUGGAGUUAGACAUAUUGCAAGAGCUGCUGGCAGAGCCAGGGUGAAGAAGGUGGACCUCUGGUUCCAGACAAGUACAGGCAGACAAACGCUUAAUGUCUUUGUCAUCCUUACUUGCAAUAUGUCCUGUAUUUUCUGUUAAACAUUUUUUUUUAAAAAAUAUUGAUAUCUUUGUGGGGGUUAGGAGCUGAACAAUCUGUAGGUGCAACUAAAGACCAGAUAAUCUUUAGUGCGAGUGUACAAAUAGCCUUGUGUAAAUAGCAGAGUUCAGAUUCUUCUGGGAGUAGCUGUCUGCCGGCUUAGAAAGACUGAAAAAAUAAGCCCUGGACGGCGUCAGGAAGGACUGUCGGUAGCAGUUGUGUAGUUUGAUAAGCAUGUGACUGAUGUGCUGUGAACUGGAGAUGGGAGGCUGCCUUUAAAUCCCCAAGAUCCCCUUGUUCCAGGAAAAAAAUGAAAAGUUAUCUUUAGCAUUGGGAGAUGGUUGUAUUCUGUAAAGGGAGAGAGGAAGGUUAACAGGACUGAGGGCAAUGCUAGGAUGAUGUGAUGUUGCUGUGAAUGUCGUUGUCGUGGUUUAACCCCAGCCAGCAACUAGGCACCACAUGGCUGCUAGCUCACUUCCACCCCACCCAGUGG